rnacentral:rRNA from 1 species
CCCUUAGAUGUUCUGGGCCGCACGCGUGCUACACUGAGUGGAUCAGCGGGUCAGGUUGCGCGAAAGUGUUUCCUAAUCUUGAAAUCCGCUCGUGAUGGGGAUUGACGGUUGCAAUUUUCCGUCAUGAACGAGGAAUACCUUGUAAGCGCGGGUCAUCAUCCCGCGCUGAAUACGUCCCUGCCCUUUGUACACACCGCCCGUCGCUCCUACCGAUUGAGUGGUCCGGUGAGACUUUGGGAUCUGAGCAAAAAGAGCGUUUCGCUCGUUUGGCUCGGAAAACUCAGUCGAACCUUAUCAUUUAGAGGAAGGAGAAGUCGUAACA